rnacentral:rRNA from 1 species
UAGGGAAUCUUCGGCAAUGGACGAAAGUCUGACCGAGCAACGCCGCGUGAGUGAAGAAGGUUUUCGGAUCGUAAAACUCUGUUGUUAGAGAAGAACAAGAACGUUAGUAACUGAACGUCCCCUGACGGUAUCUAACCAGAAAGCCACGGCUAACUACGUGCCAGCAGCCGCGGUAAUACGUAGGUGGCAAGCGUUGUCCGGAUUUAUUGGGCGUAAAGCGAGCGCAGGCGGUUUCUUAAGUCUGAUGUGAAAGCCCCCGACUCAACCGGGGAGGGUCAUUGGAAACUGGGAGACUUGAGUGCAGAAGAGGAGAGUGGAAUUCCAUGUGUAGCGGUGAAAUGCGUAGAUAUAUGGAGGAACACCAGUGGCGAAGGCGGCUCUCUGGUCUGUAACUGACGCUGAGGCUCGAAAGCGUGGGGAGCAAACAGG